rnacentral:rRNA from 1 species
AUUCCAGCUCCAAUAGCGUAUAUUUAAGUUGUUGCAGUUAAAAAGCUCGUAGUUGGAUUUUGGGUCGGGGGUACCGGUCCGGUGUUUCACUGUGCACUGGUCUCCCCUUCCUUUCUGCCGGGGACGGCGUUUGCUCUUAAUUGGGCGGCGUCGGAGUCGGCGUUGUUACUUUGAAAAAAUUAGAGUGUUCAAAGCAAGCCAUCGCUCUGAAUACAUUAGCAUGGAAUAACAUGAUAGGACUCCGGUCUUACUUUGUUGGUUUCCGAGACUGGAGUAAUGAUAAAGAGGGACAGUCGGGGGCAUCCGUAUUUCAUUGUCAGAGGUGAAAUUCUUGGAUUUAUGAAAGACGAACUUCUGCGAAAGCAUUUGCCAAGGAUGUUUUCAUCG